rnacentral:rRNA from 1 species
GACGAACGCUGGCGGCGUGCUUACCACAUGCAAGUCGAGCGGAAAGGCCACUUCGGUGGUACUCGAGCGGCGAACGGGUGAGUAACACGUGAGUAAUCUGCCCCUGGCUUUGGGAUAGCCACCGGAAACGGUGAUUAAUACCGGAUACGACCACUUCUCGCAUGGGAUGGUGGUGGAAAGUUUUUCGGCCAGGGAUGUGCUCGCGGCCUAUCAGCUUGAUGGUGAGGUAAUGGCUUACCAUGGCAUCGACGGGUAGCCGGCCUGAGAGGGUGACCGGCCGCACUGGGCCUGAGACACGGCACAGACUCCUAGCGGAGGCAGCAGUGGGGAACAUUGGACAAUGGGCGGAAACCGGAUCCAGCAACGCCGCGUGAGGGAUGACGGCCUUCGGGUUGUAAACCUCUUUCGCCUGUGACGAAGCGCAAGUGACGGUAACAGGUAAAGCAGCACCGGCCAACUACGUGCCAGCAGCCGCAGUAAUAC